UACGUAGGGUGCAAGCGUUGUCCGGAAUUAUUGGGCGUAAAGAGCUUGUAGGCGGUUUGUCGCGUCUGCUGUGAAAUUUCGGGGCUCAACCCCGAACUUGCGGUGGGUACGGGCAGACUAGAGUGUGGUAGGGGAGACUGGAAUUCCUGGUGUAGCGGUGAAAUGCGCAGAUAUCAGGAGGAACACCGAUGGCGAAGGCAGGUCUCUGGGCCAUAACUGACGCUGAGACGCGAAAGCGUGGGGAGCAAACAGG
rnacentral:rRNA from 1 species